UCCUGGGUUAUGUGACGACUGUGCGAAGUGAAAGCUAUGAUGCAGCAGAUUGAGGGAGGGUUGAAUUCCUGAGGUGUUUAAGUGGAAGUGUGCAGCCCAGAUGUGCUCGCACUGGGUAUGUGAUGCGUUUAGGCGACCGUGUGCGCGCGCAGGCUACCGUACUUUACGCACGCCGUGAGCAGGAUAUGGGAGCGGAAUGAUCUGCGGCUCGGACCCGAUCUGGGACUUGGACAUGAUGAGAACAUGUGAAGCGGAAUUGCAUGGCCUUGGUAGACAUCGCGCCGAUGAGCUUCCUUCUUCUCUUCCUCAUUUUGAUCUCAGGAUUUGGGAAUAAACCCAAAAAGCAUAAAUCAAAGUACACACAACCAUGAUCAUGGGGAAGACUGCUGACUUGACAGUUGUCCAGAAGACGAUCAUCGACACCCUCCACAAGGAAGAGAACCUUGAGGUGUAUCUAUGUUGUUUGGGGUGUUGGCAGUAAUCUGGAGUGCCAUAUAAACCUCGAGGGCUGGAAUUCUUUCUUACUUCUGAGCUGUCUGAGUGUAUUUGCGACUCAUGUGGAUGCUCACGGUGAACAGAGUCUGAGAGAGCUACAGGAGGUGCUCAGAAACAUGACUCCAUUGUUUAACGUAUCGAAGGCGUCCUUGUAUGCCCCUUUGCCAAAUUUAACUGGAUGCACUAAAAAGUUAAUGUACUGCUACCUGCUGGAGUUGAAUGUUAUACUACACGAGGAAGAGGGCGAUGAGAACGACUUAUCUGUUAUUCACAGCCUUAAAAAAGAGUACAGCUCCUCCAACAGCUGCAGCGAGUGUUUAGCGUGUGAAGAGCACCCACUUGUCAACUCCACAAUGUUCUCUGAAAGGAUACAAGAAUUUGUUCAGAAACUGUUUUCAGUACUGGGCAAUUCAGACUUUAAGGACUGUGAUUAGUACACUAAAUGUACACCAUAGCCAUGAUGUAAGUAAGCUGUUUUUUUUUUUUGCAUGUAGUCAAACAGACUGAAACUUUAUUAAUGUCACUAACUGUAAUGCUAUGUCAAUAUUUAUUAUUAACACAGAGACUCACAUUAUAUAAAGUUGUUCUUAUGCUUAGGUGCUAAUUUGAUCUAUUAUCUGUUUUUUUUCUACAAAUGAUUCUAUCUAUUUUUGUACAACUGGGGUUUCUUUUCUUUCUUUCAGUUUGAUGUAGCAUAUAAAUAGCUGUGAUACAAUUUGAAUUCCUGAACAUAUACUAAGCUAAGGGAUGGGAUAAGACCAUUGUUCCCAUUGCAAAUUCCUGUCAGCAGUGUUUAAUCCAGUCAUAUCUGUGUUUAUGAAAAUACUCCAACUCUGUUGCCUAAUCUAUAAAACAGAUGAUGUAAGAAUUUUACCUAGCUGUCCUGGACGCUGUGUUUUGCCCACUCGUUAAUCCUAUUUGCUAUGAAGUUGGGUGUGGGUUUGAAACUGCCUCGAAAAAUAUCCAAGGUGGACUAACCUCAAGUCAGACUGUUUUUCUUAGAAAAAUAUCCGAGUCAUUCUGGACAGUUUUAUACAGAAACCAAUCCUAGCUCUUCCAUAUUACUUGUACAUACAUACACUCGAGUGUUUCACUGUUGGGAUGAAAAGCAACACCAUCAUCAACACCUUCAUGUCUGAAAAGAAUGGGAUGCUCCCUGCAGCUGAGAAGAACCCUUGGAAUAUUGACAAUCGAUGGCAAAAGAGUGUGAGAUUGACUCACGGAGCAGCAGUUUUAUAGUCACUGUACCAGUCAGUCAUGGUGGAGCAGGACCUCUGGAAUUUUCACAUAAAGCUGUCUGUUUAUUGGUCAAUCUACAUGUGUGUCUUCAUAUAUGGUCAUGAGUUAUAGUUUCUGAAAGAAUACAGGUGGUGGAACUAAGGUUCUUCAGCAGGGUUGCUGGGUUUACUUUCCAUGAUAAGGUAGGGUGAAGGGUUUUGCAGUUUGGGAGAACUUCAGAAUCAAGAAGAGCCAAUUGAUUUGGUUUGGGCCAAUCACCUGGGGACCUGCUGGAAAGAUCAUAUAUAUCAGAUAGCGCAAAGUUGGCCUGGGGCAUCCAGGGACAGAUAAAUCUGGCAUGACCUUCUCAUGCUUUUGUGACCAUGAUUUGAGUUGGUGCAUCCACUUCAACCUGACCUUCACAACAUCAAAUAAACGGAAAUAUUUACUUCUUGAUAAAUGUUAUUGAGUGUAAUCUCCAGCAGAAUGUACUCAUACUAUACUGAAUGAUGAAUGAUGAGUAUCUUCACUAUUUCUUGUGUGUCCUGAAAUCCUAGAUGUGUCCAGAAACAUUUUAGAAUUUGAAAUGUUUUCUCUGUCAUGCCAAGGAGUUUAUUAUGAUACUCCAAACAAUUCCAAACCAGGCCUGGGUGACUGAUUUUGAAACGUGUCCUACUGGUGUCCAAGUUCAGGUCAAGGAACCCUGGGCUAGGAACGAAGAGCUUAUGGAAUGAAGCUCGCGAGAUUAGAGUUCAUCAACCCUCCUUUGAUUGAAUGACUGGUGAAUUGCAAUUCCUCACUGCACACCCUGGAUUGCUGCUCAUACACAAGGAUUUCAGAAGAACACAACCCGAAUGAUAUUGUCAUCAUAAUUUUUCUCCAUUUGUGAUGGCAACCUGACCAAAAGACAGUGAGUGAGAUAUAAUAAACAAUUUGUGUACAGUACGCCAGUUUUGUAUAUGGUCUGCAAAUUUGUGUGAUUUUUUAAAAAUAUUUAUUCUAUUACAUAUAUCAUAUCAUUGUACUAAAAGGUGUGUGCACGUUGUUCUAUGUCUUUACAGAGCUACAUGUUUGGUUCUUACUCUGUUUGGAGUCUAAUGAAUCUAAUAAAGCAGUUAUUCACACA